AUGGUAUACCUACACAGAAACCAGCACCUUGCAGCGACACUACUACUUUCUUUGCUGAUUUUGUUGAUAUCUUCUUCAUCGUUUGCUAGGCCCUUGAAUGAUUUCAGCCAGCUCUCAGCCACCUCCAACCUCAUACUUCCCAGCAAUAGAGUGAUACCGGAAAAGAGAGGACACGUGUUAGUAGUAAGCGGUGGAAAAGUAAACAGGCCAUUGAUCCUGAACAUGCUUCCUAAGGGGCCAGUUCCUCCUUCUGGACCAAGCAAAGGAAUCAACAACCUCAAUAACUAG